UACGUCGGGUGCAAGCGUUAAUCGGAAUUACUGGGCGUAAAGCGUGCGCAGGCGGUUCGGCAAGUACGAUGUGAAAUCCCAGGGCUUAACCUUGGAACUGCAUUUUUAACUGCCGGGCUAGAGUAUGUCAGAGGGGGGUAGAAUUCCACGUGUAGCAGUGAAAUGCGUAGAGAUGUGGAGGAAUACCGAUGGCGAAGGCAGCCCCCUGGGAUAAUACUGACGCUCAUGCACGAAAGCGUGGGGAGCAAACAGG
rnacentral:rRNA from 1 species